rnacentral:lncRNA from 1 species
CUGAAGGUGUCCCUGGCCCCAGCGAUGCCCUCUGGGUGUCCAUCCGCAGAGGGUACACCCUGGGCUCAGCAGAAUGCAAGCUGAAAGUUUCCUCCAGCCCCAUCAGGUACACCGGCUCCUGCUGCUCCGUUUAGGCCGAAAUCUCCUCCCUAGCCUGCUUGGCAGGCAGAGAUCACAAGUGAGCAGAGAGGCAGGCAGAGAGAGAGGAGGAAGCAGGCUCCCUGCUGAGCAGAAAGCCCAAAGUGGGGCUCAAUCCCAGGACCCAGGGAUCAUGACCUGAGCCAAAGGAAGAGGCUUUAACCCACUGAGCCACCCAGGUGCCCCAGUAUUUUAAUUUUUUAAAGAAAUUUUCAGGGUUUUUUGAGUUGUUUUCUUAAUGAUUGCUCUAGGAUUUACCAUGUACAUCAUAAUUUGUCCAAAUCAACUUCCAACUUGUUACACUAGCUUAAUUC